GUACACACGGAUAACAUACCGAAAGGUAUGCUAAUACGGGAUAACAUAUUUGAGAGGCAUCUCUUAAAUAUCAAAGGUGAGCCAGUACAGGAUGGACCCGCGUCUGAUUAGCUAGUUGGUAAGGUAACGGCUUACCAAGGCGACGAUCAGUAGCCGACCUGAGAGGGUGAUCGGCCACAUUGGAACUGAGACACGGUCCAAACUCCUACGGGAGGCAGCAGUGGGGAAUAUUGCACAAUGGGCGAAAGCCUGAUGCAGCAACGCCGCGUGAGUGAUGAAGGCCUUCGGGUCGUAAAACUCUGUCCUCAAGGAAGAUAAUGACGGUACUUGAGGAGGAAGCCCCGGCUAACUACGUGCCAGCAGCCGCGGUAAUACGUAGGGGGCUAGCGUUAUCCGGAUUUACUGGGCGUAAAGGGUGCGUAGGCGGUCUUUCAAGUCAGGAGUGAAAGGCUACGGCUCAACCGUAGUAAGCUCUUGAAACUGGGAGACUUGAGUGCAGGAGAGGAGAGUGGAAUUCCUAGUGUAGCGGUGAAAUGCGUAGAUAUUAGGAGGAACA
rnacentral:rRNA from 1 species